GUCGUCGUGAGGCGGAAUCCGAAGGAAGAGUGGAACAAAGCCAACGACCUGGCGAACAGAAACCCGAUGCGAGGCAGACUUGGUCGGUCGAGCGAGCAAAGGAUCACGAUGCCCCCAACCAUCAAAUGCCGGGCGGUAAUGUUGGCAGGUGUCGGCAGUGUGCAUAU
rnacentral:ncRNA from 1 species